AGGGUUGAGGAGUGGGGUGCCCUGUGUGCUCUUCCUAAAGGGUUCCAGGGUUCCUCUGCAGUGUUGCUGGGGAUGGACCCCCGGCCUGAGAUGGCUGUCAAGCACUCUCUGUGGAGCCUUAGCCCAUCCCUGGAGUUCUGCAUUUCUAGGUAACCCCAAGGGACCCUGGUCCUCCUGCCCACAUGCUCGCAUGUGAACAGGACUGGAGGGCAAUCCUGCCCAGCCCCUGGCUGGCUGGAGCUUCACCUAGAGUGCAGCUCAAAUGAGAGGAGACAGCCCUGCGGUCUCCCAGCAGAGCCUCUCCGCAUCCCUCGGAUGCAGGGUAUUGUCAUCCCCGGUCAGGCAUCUCUUUGCUUUCCAAGGACAAUUGUGGGCUGUGGAUGGAGCUCAGAUGGUGGAGUACUUGCCCAGCAUGCCUGAGGCCCUGGGUUCGGUCCCCAGCACUGCACAAAUGGAAGGGAGGGUGGUGGUGGUGGUGGCACAUCUGCAAUCAAUCCCAGUCCUGGGAACCCUGGAAGUCAGGUGGCAGACCCUGGCAAGCGUGCCCAAGCCAGAGGCAAAAGCUCAGAGGUACUACAGCUGAAGCCCAGGAUCUAGGCCCCAUCUGCACCGUGAAGGUCUCCAGGGUGUGAGCACCCCUGAGGGGUCAUAGUGUCUUUACAUGAGUUAGCUGGAGUCUUUCACAUGUGAAUCCCCUACCUGAAGCUUCUUGCCUCCAUCCUGAGGUGGCCAGAGAGUUCCAAAGGCUGGAGAGUAGGCAGGUGUGUCUGAAAGGGUCCCUUAGUGAGCAAGACUGAGGGAGGAGGUAGAGAAGGGCCCUUAGUGAGCAAGACUGAGGGAGGAGGUAGAGGAGGGGCCCUUAGUGAGCAAGACUGAGGGAGGAGGUAGAGAAGGGCCCUUAGCGCGCAAGACUGAGGGAGGAGGUAGAGGAGGGGCCCUUAGUGAGCAAGACCAAGGGAGGAGGUAGAGAGGGCCCUUAGUGAGCAAGACUGAGGGAGGAAGUAGACCUAACUAUGGGUGAGAAGAAGACAUUGGAGGAACAGACUCAGCCAGUAGCUGAGAUCAGCCAACCAAGACUGGAUGUGAUGGUGCACGAGGUACAGGAGUUCAAUCUCAGUGCUUGGGAAGCAGAGGCAGGGGGACUUCUGUGAGCCUGACUCUAGACUGGUCUACAUAGUGAGUUUCAGGCUAGACCGAUCCAUACAGCGUGAUCCAGGCUAUCCAGGGUCACAGAGUGCAACUCUGUCUCAGGAGGAGGAGGAGGAAGAACAGGAGACAACAGAUACGUAAACCAAAGGCGAUUCGGAGCCUGGCACCGUGGCUCAUACCUGUAAUCCCAGCACUUAGGAAGCAGAGACAGGAGAAUUGCUGCAAAUCCAGGGCAGUCUGGAUUGUGGUGAAUUCCGAGCUGGCCUGGAAUACACAGAAAGACCAGCUCAAAAACAGAACACACACAUAUACACACACACUCACAAAACAAAACUACACACACAUACACACAAAAAACAAAACCACACACAGACA